rnacentral:pre_miRNA from 1 species
CAACUACUCCCUCUGUCCCAAAUUUCUUGUCUUAGAUUUGUCUAGAUACGGAUGUAUCUAAUACUAAAAUGUGACUUGAUACAUCCGUAUCUAGACAAAUCUAAGACAAGAAUUUUAGGAUGGAGGGAGUACUUU